rnacentral:rRNA from 1 species
GAUGAACGCUGGCGGCGUGCCUAAUACAUGCAAGUCGAGCGAACAGACGAGGAGCUUGCUCCUCUGACGUUAGCGGCGGACGGGUGAGUAACACGUGGAUAACCUACCUAUAAGACUGGGAUAACUUCGGGAAACCGGAGCUAAUACCGGAUAAUAUAUUGAACCGCAUGGUUCAAUAGUGAAAGACGGUUUUGCUGUCACUUAUAGAUGGAUCCGCGCCGCAUUAGCUAGUUGGUAAGGUAACGGCUUACCAAGGCAACGAUGCGUAGCCGACCUGAGAGGGAGAUCGGACACACUGGAAGUGAGACACGGUCCAGACUCCUACGGGAGGCAGCAGUAGGGAAUCUUCCGCGAAGGGCGAAAGCCUGACGGAGCAACGCCGCGUGAGUGAUGAAGGUCUUCGGAUCGGAAAACUCUGUUAUUAGGGAAGAACAAAUGUGUAAGUAACUAUGCACGUCUUGACGGUACCUAAUCAGAAAGCCACGGCUAACUCCGUG